CCUUCUUCUACUAUUCCCUCACAUCCGGAGCUCGAAGAAGGGACUGCCCACCCACCGAGCUCGGGGCACAGGCGCUGGGCUUGCUUCGAUCUCCUCCUUGUCCCGGGGGCUCUUUUCAAAAACCUCUUGCCCCAGCCCCAACGCGGUCAUCGUCUCUUCCCGGGAUUGACCAACAAGCCUUCUUUGCACAAGGUGAGAAAGAAACAUUUUCAUCACAAAGUUGCACAGAUGCCACUCCAGCCCCAUCUUGACCAUCAUAGUAUCUCUCAUCUUUCAACUUACAUGGCCGCUUUCUCUCUUGCACCAUGCGGAAUGAAACUGGUCUCCAUAUCCCUAGACGGGAAAUGCUUGGGUCCACAUAGUAGCAGGGCCCAGGACUCUCCGUGAUCGAGAUCACUUGCAAAGGAAAGAAGAAUUGUCUGCAUGAGGCAUGGUGUGGAUUCUGAGCUAUUUAGCUUGGUUGCAAUGACUGACUUCCUGUCCAAUAUCAAUUAAAGGCACCCACUAGCUAGAUAGCAGUGAAUAUGUUAAGCUCCGCCCCCCUGCACCUCCAUUCCUGUUAUCCUUCAACAUGGCUUAAGUGUAGAUCAUCCUCUUCCCACUAAGGUCCGCAGCUGUACAACUGAGAACCCUGAUUUUGGUGCAGCCAUAAUUUUACUAUGAAGCGCCCUAAAUCAGCAGUAUAAGACCCUCCAGCCCUUGCUGGACUACAACUCCUAUCAUUCUUGACCAUGCUGACUGGGGCUGAUGGGAGUUGUAGUCAAGAAGCAACUACAUUAGCCACCUACAUGCAGUGUCAUUGAUCCAGUUGGAAUGGAAACUUUGGAAAGCCACCCAGCUCUUGAUCAUGGAUCACCUAGGUCCCAUCAACUGUGGCCCCGAUAAUUAGAGAGUCCCAAAAACACAGGUUGUCAAUCUCUGUUCAAAUGUUUUGCCAGCAGAUUUAACAGUUGUUUAGCCAGCUUCACCCUGUGGGUCAGUUAAUGCUGUUGGGAAAACCCAAAUAACACAGAACCCAACUUGUCAGCAUCUUACAUCUUUCACUGGAUUUCACACGCAUUGUGUAGGCUGGCUCAGCAUACUUGGUGAAGUCAUGGUCCUUAAUGCCAGUGAGAGGCUGCCUACCAUACUUCCCAGGUCCUGGCCCUGCAAGAGAACCACAAGGGGGGAGGGGGAUAAAAUAAUGGGAAGACAACCCGGAACCAUUAGCAUUUGCAGAUUAUGAGCUGCCACACUGGGUAAUAGUAAAAGGACAAAAUGGAAUAAUAUAUUGUGUUGAAUAAUAUAUUGAAUAAUAUAUUGGGUUGUGGAGCUACAGCUCUCCAGGUGUUGCUGCACUGCAACUCCCAUCAUCUCUGACCAUUGAACCAGACUGGCUGGGGCUGAUGGAAGUCCCACAACAUACUUUUCUUCUCCCUCUGGUAAAAUCUCGCUAGCCUUGGGCCAGGAUAUUUGCAUUGCAAUAGGAAGUGAGCAUUACAAGGCACCUGAAUUCUUCUGUGGCUCGGACUAUAAUUCAAGCCAGAGAAGAUUUCCCAUUUUACUCAACUACCUAUGCUCUGCCUGUAAUCUCCCAACCCCCUUCCUUCAUCCCCUUUAAACAAGCGUUACCCUGGUAGGACAACAGCAGUGGUGACAUACCAGCCACAGGAAAAGGAAAACAAAAGGGGAAAAAUUAUUAUUAUUAUUCUGACUCCCUCCUUUGGCAAUCUUCACAGAACUCUAGCCCAAUGGUUUCCAUCAAUUUGAUUUGAAUUAAUUUUAUAAUGAAUUAUUUUAGAAUGUUGUAUUAUUUUAUUGUUGUUAGCUGCCCUGAGCCCAGCUUCGGCUGGGGAGGGCGGGAUAUAAAUAAAAUUUAUUAUUUAUUAUUA